UACAGAGGGUGCAAGCGUUAAUCGGAAUUACUGGGCGUAAAGCGUGCGUAGUCGGUUAUUUAAGUCGGAUGUGAAAUCCCCGGGCUCAACCUGGGAAUUGCAUUCGAUACCGGAUAGCUAGAGUUCGGCAGAGGGAAGUGGAAUUUCGGGUGUAGCGGUGAAAUGCGUAGAUAUCCGAAGGAACAUCAGUGGCGAAAGCGACUUCCUGGACCAGAACUGACGAUCAGGCACGAAAGCGUGGGGAGCAAACAGG
rnacentral:rRNA from 1 species